ACCUUUCUAGUAUCAACAUUCAGUACAAGUGACUUCCAAUCAUUUAGCCUUGGUUAAAAUCCAAGGUAAAGGUA
rnacentral:tRNA from 1 species